UACGGAGGGUGCGAGCGUUGUCCGGAAUCACUGGGCGUAAAGGCGCGUAGGCGGCCUGGCAAGUCGAUGGUGAAAGCCCGAGGCUCAACUUCGGGUCGGCCACUGAUACUGCUGGGCUUGAGUCGACUAGAGGCAGAUGGAAUUCCGGGUGUAGCGGUGGAAUGCGUAGAGAAUCCGGAAGAACACCGGUGGCGAAGGCGGUCUGCUGGGGUCGAACUGACG
rnacentral:rRNA from 1 species